AAUGGUGUUCACACCACCUGCAACAGGCCUGAUUUCGUCCGAUCUCGGAGGCCAAGAAUGGUUGAGCCUGGUUUGUACUUGGAGAUUGCCUGAACAACCACAACCACAUAGAGAUGUAGAACGACCAUAA
rnacentral:rRNA from 1 species